rnacentral:rRNA from 1 species
GGGUUGUGAGGUUAAGCGACUAAGCGUACACGGUGGAUGCCCUGGCAGUCAGAGGCGAUGAAGGACGUGCUAAUCUGCGAUAAGCGUCGGUAAGGUGAUAUGAACCAUUAUAACCGGCGAUUUCCGAAUGGGGAAACCCAGUGUGAUUCGUCACACUAUCAUUAACUGAAUCCAUAGGUUAAUGAGGCGAACCGGGGGAACUGAAACAUCUAAGUACCCCGAGGAAAAGAAAUCAACCGAGAUUCCCCCAGUAGCGGCGAGCGAACGGGGAGCAGCCCAGAGCCUGAAUCAGUGUGUGUGUUAGUGGAAGCGUCUGGAAAGGCGUGCGAUACAGGGUGACAGCCCCGUACACAAAAAUGCACAUAUUGUGAGCUCGAUGAGUAGGGCGGGACACGUGGUAUCCUGUCUGAAUAUGGGGGGACCAUCCUCCAAGGCUAAAUACUCCUGACUGACCGAUAGUGAACCAGUACCGUGAGGGAAAGGCGAAAAGAACCCCGGCGAGGGGAGUGAAAAAGAACCUGAAACCGUGUACGUACAAGCAGUGGGAGCACGCUUAGGCGUGUGACUGCGUACCUUUUGUAUAAUGGGUCAGCGACUUAUAUUCUGUAGCAAGGUUAACCGAAUAGGGGAGCCGAAGGGAAACCGAGUCUUAACUGGGCGUUAAGUUGCAGGGUAUAGACCCGAAACCCGGUGAUCUAGCCAUGGGCAGGUUGAAGGUUGGGUAACACUAACUGGAGGACCGAACCGACUAAUGUUGAAAAAUUAGCGGAUGACUUGUGGCUGGGGGUGAAAGGCCAAUCAAACCGGGAGAUAGCUGGUUCUCCCCGAAAGCUAUUUAGGUAGCGCCUCGUGAAUUCAUCUCCGGGGGUAGAGCACUGUUUCGGCAAGGGGGUCAUCCCGACUUACCAACCCGAUGCAAACUGCGAAUACCGGAGAAUGUUAUCACGGGAGACACACGGCGGGUGCUAACGUCCGUCGUGAAGAGGGAAACAACCCAGACCGCCAGCUAAGGUCCCAAAGUCAUGGUUAAGUGGGAAACGAUGUGGGAAGGCCCAGACAGCCAGGAUGUUGGCUUAGAAGCAGCCAUCAUUUAAAGAAAGCGUAAUAGCUCACUGGUCGAGUCGGCCUGCGCGGAAGAUGUAACGGGGCUAAACCAUGCACCGAAGCUGCGGCAGCGACGCUGAUGCGUUGUUGGGUAGGGGAGCGUUCUGUAAGCCUG